rnacentral:rRNA from 1 species
AGAUUGAACGCUGGCGGCAUGCCUUACACAUGCAAGUCGAACGGCAGCACGGGAGCAAUCCUGGUGGCGAGUGGCGAACGGGUGAGUAAUAUAUCGGAACGUGCCCAGUAAUGGGGGAUAGCCCGGCGAAAGCCGGAUUAAUACCGCAUACGACCUACGGGUGAAAGCGGGGGAUCGCAAGACCUCGCGUUAUUGGAGCGGCCGAUAUCAGAUUAGCUUGUUGGCGGGUAAAAGCCCACCAAGGCAACGAUCUGUAGCUGGUCUGAGAGGACGACCAGCCACACUGGGACUGAGACACGGCCCAGACUCCGUACGGGAGCAGCAGUGGGGAAUUUUGGACGAAGUAGGGGAACCCUGACUCCGAGCCACGUCCCGCGUCGUGCGAUAGGAACGGUCCGUU